rnacentral:rRNA from 1 species
GAUGAACGCUGGCGGCGUGCCUAAUACAUGCAAGUAGAACGCUGAAGGAGGAGCUUGCUCUUCUGGAUGAGUUGCGAACGGGUGAGUAACGCGUAGGUAACCUGCCUUGUAGCGGGGGAUAACUAUUGGAAACGAUAGCUAAUACCGCAUGACAACAGUUAUUGCAUGAUAACUGUUUAAAAGGUGCAACUGCUCCACUACCAGAUGGACCUGCGUUGUAUUAGCUAGUUGGUGAGGUAACGGCUCACCAAGGCGACGAUACAUAGCCGACCUGAGAGGGUGAUCGGCCACACUGGGACUGAGACACGGCCCAGACUCCUACGGGAGGCAGCAGUAGGGAAUCGUCGGCAAUGGACGGAAGUCUGACCGAGCAACGCCGCGUGAGUGAAGAAGGUUUUCGGAUCGUAAAGCUCUGUUGUAAGAGAAGAACGAGUGUGAGAGUGGAAAGUUCACACUGUGACGGUAUCUUACCAGAAAGGGACGGCUAACUACGUG